CCUACGGGAGGCAGCAGUGAGGAAUAUUGGUCAAUGGGAGAGAUCCUGAACCAGCCAAGCCGCGUGAGGGAAGACGGCCCUAUGGGUUGUAAACCUCUUUUGUCGGAGAACAAAACCAGGGACGUGUCCCGGACUGCGUGUAUCCGAAGAAAAAGCAUCGGCUAACUCCGUGCCAGCAGCCGCGGUAAUACGGAGGAUGCGAGCGUUAUCCGGAUUUAUUGGGUUUAAAGGGUGCGUAGGCGGUCCGUUAAGUCAGCGGUAAAAUUGCGGGGCUCAACCCCGUCGAGCCGUUGAAACUGGCAGACUUGAGUUGGCGAGAAGGACGCGGAAUGCGCGGUGUAGCGGUGAAAUGCAUAGAUAUCGCGCAGAACUCCGAUUGCGAAGGCAGCGUACCGGCGCCAGACUGACGCUGAGGCACGAAAGCGUGGGGAGCGAACAGGAUUAGAUACCCUGGUAGUC
rnacentral:rRNA from 1 species